UAAGGUAGCGAAAUUCCUUGUCGGGUAAGUUCCGACCUGCACGAAUGGCGUAACGACUUCCGCACUGUCUCAACCAGAGACUCAGCGAAAUUGAAUUCUCGGUGAAGAUGCCGAGUACCCGUGGCAAGACGGAAAGACCCCGUGAACCUUCACUACAGCUUGACACUGACUCUUGGGCAACUUUGUGUAGCAUAGGUGGGAGACUGUGAUAUCUGGGCGCUAGCUUAGGUGGAGUCGCCGUUGAAAUACCACCCUGAAUUGUCUGAGUGUCUAACCGUGGCCCGUUAUCCGGGUCCGGGAAACUGUCUGGUGGGUAGUUUGACUGGGGCGGUCGCCUCCCAAAAAGUAACGGAGGCGCGCGAUGGUUCCCUCAGCCUGAUUGGAAACCAGGCGUAGAGUGCAAAAGCAUAAGGGAGCUUGACUGCGAGACCGACGGGUCGAGCAGGUACGAAAGUAGGCUUUAGUGAUCCGGUGGUUCUGCGUGGAAGGGCCAUCGCUCAACGGAUAAAAGGUACUCCGGGGAUAACAGGCUUAUCUCCCCCAAGAGUUCACAUCGACGGGGAGGUUUG
rnacentral:rRNA from 1 species